rnacentral:rRNA from 1 species
ACACUGCCGAGAAAAGCCUCUAGAUAGAAAAUAGGUGCCCGUACCGCAAACCGACACAGGUAGUCAAGAUGAGAAUUCUAAGGUGAGCGAGCGAACUCUCGUUAAGGAACUCGGCAAAAUGACCCCGUAACUUCGGGAGAAGGGGUGCUCUUUAGGGUUAACGCCCAGAAGAGCCGCAGUGAAUAGGCCCAAGCGACUGUUUAUCAAAAACACAGGUCUCUGCUAAACCGUAAGGUGAUGUAUAGGGGCUGACGCCUGCCCGGUGCUGGAAGGUUAAGAGGAGUGGUUAGCUUCUGCGAAGCUACGAAUCGAAGCCCCAGUAAACGGCGGCCGUAACUAUAACGGUCCUAAGGUAGCGAAAUUCCUUGUCGGGUAAGUUCCGACCCGCACGAAAGGCGUAACGAUUUGGGCACUGUCUCAACGAGAGACUCGGUGAAAUCAUAGUACCUGUGAAGAUGCAGGUUACCCGCGACAGGACGGAAAGACCCCGUGGAGCUUUACUGUAGCCUGAUAUUGAAAUUCGGCACAGCUUGUACAGGAUA